GGAAUGGCUACGAUGGUGAGGAAGGAGAUGAUGAGGAGGGAACGAAUAGUGAGAGUAAGGGAGAAAGGCCAAAGGGGUAAACGGUGGUGUGAAGGGAAAUCGACAGUUAGACGGUGAAGGGGAGUUUUGGGGCACAUAGUUGGGUAGGGUUUGAUGGAGGAGAUGAUGGUCGGUUGGGGUGGAUCAAGAAGAAAGAGAGAUGGGCAAUGGUUCGGUCGGCAUAGUUGUGUAUAGAAAGGGGGACAAACGAAGAUGAAGGGCUGGAGAAAGAAAAAGGGGAAUGAAAGGGUUAGGGUUUCAGAUUUAAAAAGAAGGCACAGUUGUGUAUAUGGCUUGUGUUAGGCCAAAUGACUAUGUCAUGCAACCGUGUAUACCAU
rnacentral:lncRNA from 1 species